GGAGGUGUGGCUGAGCGGUUGAAAGCAACGGUCUUGAAAACCGUCGAAGGGGAAACUCUUCCGUGAGUUCGAAUCUCACCGCCUCCG
rnacentral:tRNA from 1 species